UUUAAUUAUCAUAAUAGCUGUUGCUGACGGAGUGAUAUUUUUAAUGGAUUGAAAUAAGCUGUUUGCGUAAGCCACUCACAUAAUUCUACUAAAAAAAACCAAAAUUGUUAAAUAAAUAAAAUUCCCCGGCGGCAGAUCAAUUCACCGUCGUCGCCACAGUCGCCAGCCAUCAUCUUUCAUCACUCAACACUGUAUAAUUUCUCAAUCGACAUUCAGUUACGGCCCACACAAUAAUUCGAUGAUUGCCCCAAAUUCGACGCUAUUUUUGCCGACAAUUUCCCUUUCCCUUGUGUUGAUACACUCGGCAAUCGCGCCUUUCAAAAUUUCCCACUACCUCUAUCCGAAAUUCACGGCCGUGUUUAAAUGAAAAGAGGCGUUUUUAAAUGAAAAAUGCGCGUUUAAGCAGAUGAAAAACGCCAAUGAGAGUGGCGUGUUUAACCAGAACAAUAUAUCAGCAAACGCUCCCCCAAAUCGCGAAACGCAGACCUUCUCCACAUCGCUCCAUAUCCACACAGCGCCCAUUCUCUGUGAAAUCGCCAUCUUCUCCGUGAUUUCGCCCUCUCUCCAUCAAUCGGUGCUAUUCUUCUCCGUAUUUCAUAUACUUUUCGGGUGUUUUGGAUUCGAUUUCUAAAAAAGAGAAAUGGGCUUUGGAGGAUUUUUGGGUUUCAUAAUUGGAUGUAAAGAAAGCUAAAUACAAGACAGUGCAACGAUAUGACUUUCGGGUUCGUGUUGGGAAGAUUGAAGUUGCCCUUAAGAUGCAUGAUGGGACAUCAAACUUUGAGGCACUGGCUAGGAGAAUUGGUUCCACGGCUGUAAAUGAUAGCUUUAAAGUUGAAGGCCCUUUGGAGUUAAUGGUCGUAGGAGAAGAUGAUCGGUUGUCCCUUACAUUUCCGGAGAUGGAGUGAUGUGGGCCUGCUCUAUGCACGAGAUUACUUCCAAUACGUAUUCAAGGUUCGCCAUCCGUGGUUUCCUAUAGAAGCGGAAGACCAGGUUCACUUAUUCGAACUUCUUCUCGUUGUAAAGAUGUGAUAAAAUUGUUGCCAGAGAGGUGUUAUGUGAGACGAAACUACGAGAGAUCUGUGCAUAUCCCUAAUUCUCUAGGCACUAGAAUCGUGUUGUUAAAAAGAGGAUUGAAGAGCUUCCUGAAUGAGACCGACGAUCCAAAUUCGGCUGCUAUGGGGUCUCUAAAGGUCAGAAUCAGCGCAUUUCCCAUGUAUCGCGCUUCCCUUUGGAACUGAGAAGAAAUAUCAGAACUAACGAUUCUUACUGGAGCACGCUAGCUGAGUGGCGAACGAGGCCUGCUACUGAACUCGUGCUGUUUGAAGUUGCAGCAAGAAUCGAAGGUGAGGUUCUGAAGCCCCUGGUGAUCAAAAAGGUCUGGCCUCUUAAUACCGAUUCAUUUCCUUGGGGUAGUUUAUCAUCGAAUCUCUCGUUCACCGAGUUGCCCCCUCUGCUUCUCCCUCCCGAGUCGUUGACUCUCGACGUGAAAUGGUAGGAAAGCUUGUGUAUAGCUCAACAGGUUGGAGCCUUUCCUUGUACCUUUGUGUAUCGUAACGUUGAUCAUGUAAGGCGUAGUGUUGUGCACAAACCUGUAGUGAGAUUGUGACAUGAAAUCUUAGAAGGAAACAAUGGAUUUACUCGUGUAACUAAAAGAUUUAUUUUUGCACUUAAUACAUAGAAGUUGCCUGA